ACUUACCAGAAUCUUUCAUGGAACAUCUAAGUUUUACAUCUGAAGAUGAGGCUGAAUUUUCCAAGUAUCUUCUCCUUGUCGAAUGUUGCAGGAAGGGACACAAAGUCAAAAUGUGUAAGAAACUGUCCUACCUAGCUGCCUUCUCUCAUCUUCGAGGCUACAUCAAGGCUCCCUGCUGCCAGGCUGUGGCGAGACAUCUCGGCUCAGACGUCCUGGAGGCAGAAUGA
rnacentral:lncRNA from 1 species